GCUGGGCAUGGUGGCCCAUGCCUGUAAUCCCAGCACUUUGGGAGGCUGAGGUGGGUGGAUCACCUGAGGUUAGGAGUUCGAGACCAGCCUGGCCAACAUGGUGAAACCCCAUCUCUACUAAAAAUACAAAAAUUAGGCUGGGCGUGGUGGCCCAUGCCUGUACUCCCAGCACUUUGGGAGGCUGAGGUGGGUGGAUCACCUGAGGUUAGGAGUUCGAGACCAGCCUGGCCUACAUGGUGAAACCCCAUCUCU
ensembl:misc_RNA RN7SL73P RNA, 7SL, cytoplasmic 73, pseudogene